rnacentral:rRNA from 1 species
AUGAAACUCACAACGAAAUACUACGGACCUUACAGAAUUCUGCAGAAGGUUGGACAUGUGGCUUACAAACUCCAACUCCCGGACCACAUUGGCAUCCACCCGGUGUUCCAUGUUAGUCAGCUGAAGAAACACCUGGGAACACAUGCCGUCCCAAGCAAAGACUUACCCUUAGUGGACAGCAACGGAAGAAUCAAAACGGAACCACUUGCAGUACUGGAAACUCGUUCACUGCCCAGGAAUAGAGUUCUAGUGACACAGUGGCUCAUCGACUGGGAAAAUUUGAAACCUGAAGAAGCAACUUGGGAGGACGCCAACUUCAUCAAGCAAGUAUUUCCGGAGUUCUUCGCCAGCACGCUCAAAAGCUGGUUCCCUGAGAAAUAUACUUGA